GGUUAGGUGAACUGAAGAGACAGUCAGUGUAGAAAAUGCUGACAGGAGCUCUUAUUAAAACACUUUGACACUUUGGUCCACAGUGGCUUUGGUGCCUUGAACAUCAGCACUCCAAAAACCCUUGCGUAGACAAUUUAUAUCUUCAGCAUUCUCAUAACUGUGAUGAAGUUUGGUCCACAGUGGCUUUGGUGCCUUGAACAUCAGCACUCCAAAACACUUGCGUAGACAAUUUAUUAUCUUCAGCAUUCUUCAUAACUGUGAUGAAGAGGAGCACAGACAAACACAAGAGAGAUAUAGAGUGUGAGAAGUAACUGAAAAUAUCACUUCAGCUGAACUCUUGAAGAAAGCAGAUGUGUUUUAUCUAAGUGUCUUUAAGUAAAGGAUUUGAAGAAAUGUCACAUGUUGUUCAUUUUGGACUGCUUAUCGCAUGCUCAGGUGAGUUUGCAGAACUAAUUGAAUUCAAACUUACUCAUUUAUUAGAAUCAUAUUCAUCAAAUUCUGUUCACAAGUGUUUUCUGUUUUUGUGGUUCAGUUCUUGUUGGGUGUAGCAGCAUUAACAAGGAACAAUGGAAGAGCAUGCUGGAAAAAAAAAAGUUGAACCUUCCCCAAGAAUUCAAAAUGAGUCAUGAAUUGAACAUAGAGAACUCUGAGAUGAAUGCCAUUAUGUGUUGGGUUUGCAAGAAGUCAAUUCAUGAGAUCAAGGGUGUGAUUCUUCAUGAGAUUAAAAAGGAAAUACAGGCCGUGUGCAAAGCAAUGAAAAUUCUCAAACACAUCUGCGAGCUCAAUGCUUACAAAUACCAAUUAAUUAUACUUCAUCUACUGUUUCCUGGUAAUAGCAAACAAACCUGUCACAGUUUGAGCAUGUGUAAAUAAAUGUAUUGCCCUGUUGUGAUGAACCAAAUUAUUUUCAACAUACUUUUAAUAAAUCAGCCUGUGGUCUGUUUGAUGUUGCUAUAGCCAAUUUUAUCAACGCAGUCAAUGCAGUGUUCUUUUUAUUGUGUGCAUUAUAUGCUGUCUAAACAAGAAUAAGCCAAAUCUAAUAACCACCAAAGAUACAAUAAAUCUGUUUAUUGGAUUAUUUACUGCUUCUCACGUGCAUAUUUUGUUCACUAACCACUUGAAUGAUAAAACUUUGGUUUUAUUUACA
rnacentral:lncRNA from 1 species